AGACAAACGCUGGGGUUCUUGAGACCCUUGAGGAAAGUCCAUGCUCACACAUGCCUGCGAUGGUUGUAGUGUUCGUGCCUAGGGAAUAAAUAACCUAGGGUAGCUUAGCUAACGACGGGAGAUGUCCUAAGUCUUCGGAUAUGGAAUAUCCCAUAAAGUGCCGCAGAAACGAUUCUUUUCGAAAGAGAAGACUGAAACGUGGUAAACUCCGCGAGUGAGAAAUCCAAAAUUGGUAGGAGAGUCCUAACGAAAGAACUGAAUGGAGUUAGGGACCGAAAGGUAGAUAAAUGUUUGUCGCCCGCAAGGGAACGGAACAUGGCUUAUU
rnacentral:RNase_P_RNA from 1 species